AGCAGAGCAGUGUGAGGACAUAUGUGUGGAAGAUUCUAGAGGCUCUUGACGCAAUCUAGGUGAAAGUUGGUGAGGGGGGAGCAGCAGAGAAAAUCACUCU
ensembl:misc_RNA